rnacentral:rRNA from 1 species
AGCGAACGCUGGCGGCAGGCCUAACACAUGCAAGUCGAACGGAGCAGCAAUGCCUAGUGGCGGACGGGUGAGGAAUACGUAGGAAUCUGCCCUUAAGUGGGGGAUAACCAGGGGAAACCCUGACUAAUACCGCAUGAUCUCUUCGGAGCAAAGAGGGGGACCGCAAGGCCUCUCGCUUCUGGAUGAGCCUACGUCUGAUUAGCUAGUUGGUAGGGUAAAGGCCUACCAAGGCGACGAUCAGUAACUGGUCUGAGAGGAUGAUCAGUCACACCGGAACUGAGACACGGUCCGGACUCCUACGGGAGGCAGCAGUGGGGAAUAUUGGACAAUGGGCGCAAGCCUGAUCCAGCAAUGCCGCGUGUGUGAAGAAGGCCUUCGGGUUGUAAAGCACUUUAGCCUGGAAAGAAAAAACUUUGGUUAACACCCAAAGUCUUGACGGUACCAGGAGAAUAAGCACCGGCUAACUCUGUGUCAGCCGCCGCCGUAAUAC